GAUGAACGCUGGCGGCGUGCCUAAUACAUGCAAGUCGAGCGAACAGACGAGGAGCCUGCUCCUCUGACGUUAGCGGCGGACGGGUGAGUAACACGUGGAUAACCUACCUAUAAGACUGGGAUAACUUCGGGAAACCGGAGCUAAUACCGGAUAACAUGUUGAACCGCAUGGUUCAACAGUGAAAGACGGUCUUGCUGUCACUUAUAGAUGGAUCCGCGCCGCAUUAGCUAGUUGGUAAGGUAACGGCUUACCAAGGCAACGAUGCGUAGCCGACCCGAGAGGGUGAUCGGCCACACUGGAACUGAGACACGGUCCAGACUCCUACGGGAGGCAGCAGUAGGGAAUCUUCCGCAAUGGGCGAAAGCCUGACGGAGCAACGCCGCGUGAGUGAAGAAGGUCUUCGGAUCGUAAAACUCUGUUAUUAGGGAAGAACAAAUGUGUAAGUAACUAUGCACGUCUUGACGGUACCUAAUCAGAAAGCCACGGCUAACUACGUG
rnacentral:rRNA from 1 species